rnacentral:tRNA from 1 species
GGGUGCUUAGCUCAGUUGGUAGAGCGGCGCCCUUACAAGGCGUAGGUCGGGAGCUCGUGAUGUUCGAUGCGGUCGAUGCGCGCG